GACCUUGUGGCUCAGUCGGUGAGAUAAAGAAGGUCGUGGGUUCGAACCCCACCCAGAGUCA
rnacentral:tRNA from 1 species